UUACAGCUUGAUAUUCAAGGCAUCACAGAAGCCACGGCUCUCAGUCUGAAAACACAAACAAAGAAAAAUUGGAGCCAUUCAGCUAAACCAGUAGUAAGAUGAUAAAGCUCUACAAACAGAACAAUGUCCAAAGCAUACUCAUUCAGGGUUCAGUGAAGGGAGCAAAGAAGAUUCAGUGGAGCUACAGGUUGUUCACCAUGGAUCAUCACUUUGGCUGCUUUCAGACAAAAUGCAUUUCAGGUAGGGAUAUGGAAGCGAUCUGGUUUCGGAAUGGGAAUCCAUCAGAUUUCCUCGGCUAAGUUCCUUGGAUAUCAGCCCACUUUCUCUCUUCCCGAAGUCAACCUCAUGCUAAACAUUUGCGUGGGUGUCCGGCAGGAAGCCAAUCCAGGAGAAGACCCUUCACAUCACACCAGUCCUCUUUCAGCUGCAAUGGCUGCCAGAGAAUUAUGUGCUUUGCGCAAAGAAGCCCCCAGCAUGUGCUAGUGUCCGCAGACUCGAUCUCAGCUCGGCUUGCUUCCUGGCCAGAGAUGCAGAUGGGAAGGAGGUCCAGUGGACACACGAGAGCCGGAUUCCCAUCUGAUCAUCACAUCGCAGUUGCAUCAACAACCCCAACUCAACCCCGGAAUGUGGAGAUACCACACGGGCUGAAGCCUAUCCAUACGACCAUUUCUCAUGAUAACUUUCAAUGUGCGACAUGUGCCAGACAGGUGGGCGAUGCAGCUCUUGAAGCAAUAACCGCUAAGGGUCUUCGAAACAGGUUGGUGCGCCCAAAACUCCGGUAAGCAGCGUUCAGCAACCGCCGCUCACACAACCUCCUGUCAAGCGCCCGGAUUCCUUCAGAACGCUUACAAUUUGUAGCAGCUGUUAUCAAGCACGCGGCAUGCAUCGCAAGCUGGGGAACAGUUCAACGAGGGGAUAAAAGUGAAUUUCUUGUUUUUGCAUUAGAGCUGGCAAAGAAGAUCAUGUGUUAAUUAAAUAAAAGACUAAAUGGACAAACCUUUAAAACAGAAGCCAUAACAUUUAAGAAUAAAACCAACAUGGCAGGGUAAAGGUCAGAGAAGAUCAAGUUAAAAGCUAAUAGUUUUGCUUUUUUCCAUUUUAUUGAUCAAUAGGAUGUUGGCUUUUUUGCUUUCCAGUGAAAAUGCAACAACGGAGUUAUUGCUGACCUUUCCUUCACCCUUCCAUUGUGUAUAAAAUCACAGCGAAAACAACAACUUCAUAAGUCACGCAGUUUUUCUAACAGAAAGAAGGCGUGUGUCCAGAAAAUAAUGUAAGAUGUUUAUAUCCUCAGAAAAAUAGGGCUUUUUGACAAAAGCACUUCCCUUUUAAUUAUAGAGGCGAGCGCCUCUUUGGUUCGGGGAAGCAUCCGCUUAGAAUCACCAAUUGCAUGUGGUGUGCGGAAAGUCCAGCCAUCUCUCGAUUUGGCAUUUAAAUGAGUCAUUUGACAGCUCAAUCCUGAACCCAGAAAACAAACAGAAAAAGAAAUAUUAUCUCCAUGAUGGGGUCGGGUCCCUUAAUAACUGUGGAAGAGGCGACUUGCAUCCGGCUUUAUUCACCAGCGUCGCACCGGCGUAGAACGGGGGAGAAUGAUGCAUUUCAGACGACUGCCUCUGAAGAGGCAAUCCUACGCAUGUUUAGCCCGAAAAGGGUCUCUGUGUCCACCCAGUUAUGGAGCCCAAACCUUGCCGGUUCCACUGACAUACGUUCAUCCAUCCCACCUACCUGCAGUGACCCUCUUUUCCCCCUUGAAUCUUUCUUCCAAAUCUCUUGGGAUCGUUGGUGCUUUGGGCUGAGGCUUUAAACCUGCAUAGCCCCACCCCAAACACAAAAUAGCUUGUUUGGACUCAGUCUUGUCAUUUUCUAUUUCCAAGCCUAUCCUGUUCACAUGGCUCUUCCGCCUGUUUUGUUUUUGUUUUGUUUUUUAAAGGAAGGGGGGAAAUCACUGUGCAAAAGACAGGAUGGUUUUUCAUCCGUGGCUCUGGAAGCUCUCCAUGUACCACAAUCCCUUCAUGCUCAUCCCAAACUGGACUGAGACCUAAAUAAGGAUACCUGGACUUGCGUCUUUUGUUUUCCUGUCCUCCCUUCCCAUCUUUCCCAUGCCUUCCCGUGGGUAAACUCUAGGAUUGCUUUAGACCACGGUUUUUACCAUGGGGAAGGCCAUCCAAUGAUGAUUUCCCCAUCUCUGGCAAUAUUGCAAAGCAGGGAUUCGCAGCAUCGUCAAGCCAUCGUCUUGGCACCUCGACCUGCGCCUACAGCUGCUGCUGAAGAGACAGACAGGGAAGGUCUCUGCAUUUUCCCUGAAUGAUAACACAUAUACCUUUGCAAUAAAACUCUGGAAGCACUCUCCACAGAAAUCAGGGGUCAUAGAUCACUGCAGCAAAAAUGACGUCUGCACCAGCUCUUUGACUGCCUACUGAAAGGAAAAGCACUUGACACAAUUUGCUAUUUAGAUAUUCUAAUUUUUCAGAGUUCUGCAAGCAUGCGUUACACUUCCAAGAAUAAACAAGGGCUCGACUAAGUUUGUCCCACUUUAAAGUAUGACUCACUUGCAGUAAAUAGUGUACAAGUGUACUCAGAAAUGGUUCCCUUUGAAUUUCAUGGGGUUAAUCCAGCCUUGCAGACUUAGUCUAGCUCCAUCCAUAGGAUGUGUGCUCUGAUCCACUACCCACCAACACAAGAUUUGGGAGGUCCACACUGCCCACUGGGAAGCUCUGCUCAGCAGACUUUUCAAGGACCAAUUUGUGGCCCUCCAGGUGUUUGACCUACAACUCCUAUCGUCCUUCAGCAUUGGCUGUGCUGGCUCGAACUGAAAGGAUUUGUAGGCCGUACCAUCUGGAGGAGCACAAGUGGUUGCAACUCCUUCUCUUCCUCAGCUAUCAAGGGGUGAAUGCACCCUUCCUUGUGCAAAAGAGGGGAAAGGCACAGGGUUCUAGGAGAGAGAAGGGGACCAAACAACCCCUUCCCCAGGGAAUUUUCCUGUUGCAACCUCCUCUUCUUGUCUCCUGCAAUUCAUUCCAGCAACUGUCCUUCUUGGAAUGGCUUAGGGCAAGAGCUCACAUAGAAAAAUAGAAUGCUAGUGACUAGGAAGGUUGCUGACGUGCUAGUUUUCUAUACACGGGGAACGUGCAUGUUUCUUUACUUCGUGGAUCAAACAUGUAAGCCACACAUGCUACAUACAGGCUUGCAUUGUCCAGGAAAUGCUUGACCGUGUGAUUGGGAGGAUUAGCUGCAUGGACUCAUCCCAAGCCUUUCUACAUCGCUGCGUGCAUACCAGGGGAUAUUCAACAGCUAUACCGGCACAAAAUCCUGCAACUGGAGGUUGCAUAGGCAUUGCAACCUUGUAGAUUUUUAGGAAUUCAGUGCAGGACUUGCUUCACCAAUGCAGGACAGAGGGAGUGAGAGAGAGAAUAUUCUAUGGGGAUAACUGUUUAUAAGAAGGGAAAUGAGUCUGAGAACAGUGUACCUAUCAAUCAGGGCUUGUGGUGAACCGAUUUGUUAAAGUUAAUAGAGCAAUCUAUAAUGUAAGACAAAUUAGUGUUAUUAGUCUAGGUUUUAUGGUCCAAUGCAAGUAAUGAUAUGCAGUAAAGCAAUAAGAAUAAUUAGACAUUAUGAUAAAAUGUACUUUUUAAUAUGGGAAAAGUAUGAAUGUGUUUUAUUUGGUGGUGUUCUCUCUGAUAUCUCCAACAAUUUCUUCCGUAGUUGCCUCAGGGCAUAUGAAGAAAGACUCCUGCAAAAGAGAUUCAGGAGUGAAAUUCACUUCAUAUCAAAAAGCCAAAAAACAAAAACCCGCCAAAACUCAAAAAUGCACACCCACCCAUCCCAUAGAUGUGAAAUUAAAAGUAUAGAGCAAAUUGUAAUGAUCGCAAAAUGAGCUUUAUUAAGCAAACAAAAUUGCUUAU